CGCGUAGGCGGUCUUGUCGGUCAGAUGUGAAAGCCCAGGGCUCAACCCUGGACGUGCAUUUGAAACAGCAAGACUUGAGUACGGGAGAGGGAAGCGGAAUUCCUGGUGUAGAGGUGAAAUUCGUAGAUAUCAGGAGGAACACCGAUGGCGAAGGCAGCUUUCUGGACCGAUACUGACGCUGAGGCGCGAAGGCGUGGGUAGCGAACAGGAUUAGAUACCCUGGUAGUCC
rnacentral:rRNA from 1 species